GGGUCGUUAGCUCAGUGGUAGAGCGCCGGCCUUUUAAGCCGGGCGUCGCAGGUUCAAUCCCUGCACGACCCA
rnacentral:tRNA from 1 species